rnacentral:rRNA from 1 species
AUUGAACGCUGGCGGCAUGCUUUACACAUGCAAGUCGAACGGUAACAGGCCGCAAGGUGCUGACGAGUGGCGAACGGGUGAGUAAUGCAUCGGAACGUGCCCAGUCGUGGGGGAUAACGCAGCGAAAGCUGUGCUAAUACCGCAUACGAUCUGUGGAUGAAAGCGGGGGACCGAAAGGCCUCGCGCGAUUGGAGCGGCCGAUGUCAGAUUAGGUAGUUGGUGGGGUAAAGGCUCACCAAGCCAACGAUUUGUAGCUGGUCUGAGAGGACGACCAGCCACACUGGGGCUGAGACACGGCCCAGACUCCUACGGGAGGCAGCAGUGGGGAAUUUUGGACAAUGGGCGCAAGCCUGAUCCAGCAAUGCCGCGUGCAGGAAGAAGGCCUUCGGGUUGUAAACUGCUUUUGUACGGAGCGAAAAGGCUCUCUCUAAUACAGGGGGCUCAUGACGGUACCGUAAGAAUAAGCACCGGCUAACUACGUGCCAGCCGCCGCCGUAAAAC